GUCGCUCUUUCCUAUCUUCACUGAUCAAUGGCUUCGAAAUCUUGCCAAAUUCCCCGGCAGUACGGCUACGACUUGCUGUUGGGAUCUAUAGCUGCGUUUUAUGUCUUCGCGGUACCAUACACCAAGGUUGAAGAAAGCUUCAACAUUCAGGCAAUGCAUGAUAUUCUUUACCAUCAGCUUCACUUGGACAAUUACGAUCAUUUCGAGUUCCCUGGAGUUGUUCCUCGAACAUUCAUUGGAUCUUUUCUUGUGUCAAUUUUAGCUUCCCCAGCUGUAUUAGCCAUUAAAUUAUUCCAGUUGCCAAAGAUAUAUGGACUUAUUGCGGUUCGUCUGGCAUUGGGUGGCAUCAUUUUGUCUACAUUGCGGUUUUUCCGUAAUCAGAUCAGAGAUAAAUUUGGUCAUCAAGUAGAAGCUUUCUUUGUCAUAUUGACAGCAGUUCAGUUUCACUUGCUGUUUUAUUGCACGCGUGCCCUUCCCAAUGUACUAGCUCUGGGUGUAGUUAACUUGGCAUAUGGAUAUUGGUUCAGAGGGAAUUUUUAUGCAGCAUUAAAUUGUCUGAUUUUCACUACACUUGUUUUUAGAUGUGAUAUGCUGUUGCUUCUGUGCCCUAUUGCUCUAGAGCUUUUGUUGACGAAAUCCAUUUCAUUGUGGGAAGCAAUUAAAUACUGCACUGGAAUUGCACUGCUGUCCAUAGGUCUCACGAUAUUGGUUGAUUCAAUAAUGUGGAAGAAGUUAAUGUGGCCUGAAUUUGAAGUUUUGUGGUUCAACUCUGUUCUGAAUCGGAGUUCUGAAUGGGGUACACAUUCUUUUCAUUGGUACUUCACUUCUGCACUCCCACGCUUAUUGCUUGCUGCAUAUCCUCUGUUUAUGCUUGGAGUCUUACUCGACAGGAGGGUUUUAUUCUUUGUUCUUCCAGUUUUCUCCUUCAUUUCGCUUUACUCUAAGCUUCCACACAAGGAACUCAGAUUUAUUAUCAGUUCAGUUCCAAUGUUCAACUUAUCUGCUGCUGUUGCAGCAAGCAGAAUCUAUAACAAUAGGAAAAAGACUUUAUGGAAAUUGCUCAAUUUCAUAAUGCUGGGAUUAAUUUUGAUCAGUCUAGGAUGCACCAUAAUAAUGUUCUUGGCGUCUUAUGGAAAUUAUCCCAGCGGUCAUGCAUUAAAAGGUUUACAUCAGAUGGGCCGUCUUGCUAAUACUAAUAAAUGGUGGGUUCACAUUGAUGCCUUUUCAGCCAUGAAUGGAAUAUCUCGGUUUUGUGAAAAUGAUUAUCCAUGGAGAUAUUCCAAAGAAGAAGGGAUUACUCUGGAUGAAUUUCGUCACAGAAAUUUUACAUACCUUAUCAGUGAGCACUCUUCUGUUGAUGG
rnacentral:misc_RNA from 1 species